CCUACGGGUGGCAGCAGUGGGGAAUAUUGCACAAUGGGGGAAACCCUGAUGCAGCGACGCCGCGUGAGUGAAGAAGUAUUUCGGUAUGUAAAGCUCUGUCAGCAGGGAAGAAACUGACGGUUCCUGACCAAGAAGCUCCGGGUAACUACGUACCAGCAGCCGCUGUAAUACGUAGGGGUCAAGCGUUAUCCGGAUUUACUGGGUGUAAAGGGAGCGUAGACGGCAGGGCACGUUUGGUGUGAAAGGCGGGGGCUCAACCCCCGGACUGCUCUGGAAACUGCCGGGCUGGAGUGCAGGAGAGGUAAGUGGAAGUCCUAGUGUAGCGGUGAAAUGCGUAGAUAUUAGGAGGAACACCAGUGGCGAAGGCGGCUUACUGGACUGUAACUGACGUUGAGGCUCGAAAGCGUGGGGAGCAAACAGGAUUAGAUACCCUUGUAGUC
rnacentral:rRNA from 1 species